rnacentral:lncRNA from 1 species
AAUAUUCUGCCACCGUCCGUCUGUGGUUUUCUCUCAAUAUCCUGUUUUUAGGAUUUUACUGGCUGGAGCAAUUUUCUCUGAGGAAACCAACACAAACUGGGAUAAAUCAGCCAUGAUGGAUGCUCUGAUGCUGAUGGAGAGACGUGAUGUCAGCCAGGAUUCACCUUCAGGGAGGGCAGGAGGGGCUGGAUAGUGAAAGUGUUCACCAUCACUCUGCUCUGCAGCUGGUCUCCUUUUCCACUUUGCGGUCACUUGAUGUUGAAGAGGAGCUGGAGUGGGCAAGCUAUUUAUUUGGAGGUCUUUCUUUCUUUCUUUCUUUUACCGUUUUUAUCAGGUAUGUCGGAUUUCAUGUUGUUGUUUUUGUUUUAUCAAAUAUGUUACGUGUAAAUGCAUAUUUUAUGUUUAAUGUAAUAAUAAAUGCCAGCCCCUUUUCUACAAUUCCCCUGUGGGAGAGGAGCUGGAGUGGGCAAGCUAUUUAUUUGGAGGUCUUUCUUUCUUUCUUUCUUCUACCGUUUUUAUCAGACACAACGCAGAAACCCACCGGUUACACUUGGUGCCGCUGACCCGUCACAUCGCCAGUCCGCGAUCUCCUCCUCCUUCUGCUGCCGCUGUUUUCCCGCCUCCUCUCUGCAGCUGUGCGCUGUGUGCCAGGGUUCUGUGCCCUACGCUUUGACUCACAGGUUUUUAUAUCGUGCAUCUGUGAUCGAUGCCCUGGAAUUUGGCUUGCAGGCAUCUCUGUCACUGUGAACUUAAAGGGCAAAUACGUAGGUGAUCAUUUCUGUCACUGUUUCAUAUUGUUGCCUCAAAUUAUACAGGUACAGAUUGUAGUUUUUUUUUUUCUAUUGAUAUUUGCUUUUACAGCCUGUUUUAAUUUAUUUUAUUUUAUUUUCUAUGGUGUUUUGAUUCUUUGAUUUUUUUCCCCCCCACAUUUCAUUGUUUUGUGAAGUUUUGCGUAAUUGUGUGUGGGGGUUAGGCUCUUGGAUUUUUUUUUGCUGUUAAACAGU